rnacentral:rRNA from 1 species
UUACGGCCAUAUCAGAUUGAAACGCCGGUUCUCAUACGAUCACCGAAUUUAAGCGACGUCGAGAAUGGUCAGUAGCUAGAUGGGUGAUCGCUUCGGAAGGCCGGGUGAUGUAA